AUCGGGUCACCAGUCUGCUCGGCUCCUCCCAGCGAUUCCCCGUGGUCCUUGCCGGCGGCGGCUCCUCCCAGCGGUUCCCCGUCGUCCUCGACGGCGGCCGCUAGGGACUGAGCGUCCUAUGUCGUUCCUUCUGCCUGCCUGCUAGGACGAGCAGGGGAUCGAAUUGGCCACAUGCCGUUCGCCGGAGCCAUCGCCUCCUGCAGCAUCCUGUUCCUCUUGCUCGUCCCCUGUGUCGAGGCCACGUCGGGGGGCCUCAUGAUCGAGCAGAUCUUGUCCGACAAGGGGUGCGGUGCCUUCGCCGGCCUCGUCCUAUCCUAGGAGCAGAGGAACUGAGGAACAUCUAGCACAUUAAACACCUUGCAGGGCACUCAUGGAGGUGGCCAAAUCACCAACUCCAUUAUUAACUUUCUGAACAAUACUGGCUUUCCCAUCAGCAAACAGUGGGGGAAACCACACAAGCUACCAAAUGCAUGCCAACAUACGAGUACAGCUGAAAACAAUUUCAAUUAUUCCUCGGGUGCUAAUGCUUGCCCGGCAAUCAGAAGAUGCAGACAGAUCGUGGAUCGCACAUGCUUACUCUGCAUAAACCUCUGCUUCAAGUACCUAAGGCAAGCAUUAGCGCAACAUCUACUCAGCUGAUCUGAAGCAACGGAUGCUACAUUACAUUUACAGGGGCUUCAAGACGAGAACUGUACAGAACAAAGGGGCUUUGCUGUAAAAGGAUUGCACCAAUCUCGAUGAAAUGAAUGGCGUGGAUAGGUCCUGGACGUCCAGUUGUAAACAAAGAAGGAAGACUUCCGAAGAGAGCAGGAACGGCAUCCACUCGAAGGUGAAGGUCCCACCAACAACCCAUCAUCCCUUGUAAAAAAAAAGAAGGAAGACUUCCGAAGAGAGCAGCGGGAAACUUUGAUGAUGAGUACUUGAAGGGGACUGAAGAAUCAAAUAAGUUUCAUCAGGAAUAUAAAAUGCCUAGAAUGAAGCAUAUGUAAAAUUUUGAUUCACCAAUGAUGAAGGUUUGGAUGUUAUUGGUGAAGGGCUCGCAACUCUGAAAAACAUGGCAUCGGAUAUGAAUGAGGAAUUGGAUAGGCAUAUUCUUGAUCAGGCAAGUUCCCUUGAUGGAUGAAAUGGAUGACAAGGUGGAUAGAGCCAAUGCAGAUCUGAAGAAUAUACCAACGUGAGGCUAAAACAGACUAUUCUUCAGGUUAAAGCUUAAGAGUCCUUUUACAGUACAUCAAAUUAUUCCGAGCCUUUUAUUUUUGUGAUUAAAUGGCCCAGAUACGACAAUACUGCACAUGAAUUCUUGUAGUAUAUUUGGGCGUCAAGGGCACUUUGGGCAGUUCUUAAUCAACUUUUCAUGUACUGGACGGCAUAGUAAUUACCCUGUUAGCACUCGACAAGAGCGUCAGUUCACAGCACUUGCUUGUCACUAAUUCAGUAAUUCUUCCAAGGUAUGUCAAUGUACUAGUAUCAGAAAAUAACUAGGGACAUCUAAGUUUGCUGCUCCCCUAGUGUGAUAGCAGAAAGAAAAACAAAUCAUCUAUGCGCUGGUGUGGUGGGAGAGACAGUGUUAGCCCUGUCCCUAUGGAUGCAGCUGGCAGCGAACCACCGUGUGCCGUGGAGCCGACGAACGGUUUAGUCCAGGAGAGGGCGCUCACAUAGCUGUGUGCCUUCUCUUGCGCCAAGGACAUAUAAUUACCUUGACUUAACGGGCGGCGUGGGCAUGUGCACACUGUCAUUAACAUUGGCUGGUUGCAUUUGCUCUGAACAGUCUCAAGGUAACCCAUCAUCCAUUGUAAAAAAGGAAGGAAGACGUCUGAAGAGAGCAGGUAACAUGUCAUGAUGCCAGGCAAAUUUAUCUUUUUGGAGGACGGCAAUUUGUUAAUUUGGCUUUAUCUGACUUGUUUUUUUAGAGAGAGAGAGAGCGUUGACUGGGACUUGGGAGUUGGGAGGCUAGCUGUCCACACGAUGCUCAUCAAUUUUCUUGUUUUUGAAACCUGCUCUUCCAAUUUGUUAAUUUGGAAGUUAGCUGUCCACAUGAUGCUCAUCAAUGUUCUUAUUUUUGAAACUUGCCCUUCCAAUUAGUUAACUGGGAUGUGCUUCGGUGUGCCCCAUUAAACUGAACCUUUUGGUCCCCUCUUACCACAUGACACAUACAGAUGGAAACUUUGAUGACGAGUAAUUUAAGGGGACUGAAGAAUCAAAUAAGUUUCAACAGGAAUAUGAGAUUUGUAGAAUGAAGCAGGAUGAAGGGUUGGAUGUUUUUGUGAAGGGCUGGCAACUCUGAAGAACAUGGCAUCGGAUAUAAACGGGGCUGUCUCCUGUGCUUCUUUUCUAGUUAUGCGUUGAUUAUGCGUAUCGCACUUAAUUGCUGUGAUCACCAGGAAUUGGAUAGGCAAGGUGGAUAGAGCCAAUGCAGAUCUGAAGAAUAUACCAACGUGAGGCUAAAACAGACUAUUCUUCAGGUAAAAACUUGAGUCCUUUUACAGUACAUCAAAUUAUUCUGAGCCGUUUAUUUUUGUGAUUCAAUGGCCCAGAUAUGACAAUACUGCACAUGAACUCUUGUAGUAUAUAUUAUUAUUUAGGCAUCAGGGUCACUUUGGGCAGUUCUUAAUCAACUUUUCAUGUACUGGACGGCAUAGUAAUUACCCCGUUAGCACUCGACAAGAACGUCAGUUCACAGCACUUGUCACUAAUUCAGUAAUUCUUCCAAGGUAUGUCAAUGUACCAGUAUCAGAAAAUAACCAGGGACAUCUAAGUUUGCUGCUCCCCUAGUGUGAUAGCAGAAAGAAAAACAAAUCACCUAUGCGCUGGUGUGGUGAGAGAGACAGCUUCAGCCCUGUCCCUAUGGAUGUAGCUGGCAGUGAACCACCGUGUGCCGUGGAGCCGAUGAGCACUUGAGGCCUGAUGGGAUCUCAAGUGCUGCACCACCAGCAAUCUUGCGUGGAUGAUGACCUCCAUCAUCGGGGGGAGCACAAGCACGUUGAGAGAGGUCUCCACCCGCAAUGCCGGAGGCUGCGCAAGGUCUCCACGUCCAUACGCUGCUCGUGGAGGAUAAACUGCAUAGGCAUUUUGUUGAUUUUAUUUGAAAAUUUCUUUAUAAUGAAAGGUCGGAGAAUCGAAUUUUCACAGAAUGAGUCACUUGCUGUACGUCUCACAGAAUGAUGUCCCUACGCGUCUCAAAGGGCUGAGACACUUUUCUGUUGUCUAGUAGUUGAUGUACAAAUAGGGGUAACUGGGUUGUCAUCAGAUUGGAUCUAUCCAGAAUAUAUUUCUAGUCAUGCUAGUUCAGUUCAGUUCAUCAUGCUAGUUCAGCUGCUCGUACUGCCUCCAAAUCACUGGUUGUACGUGCACAGAGUGGCUUAACUGCCGAUUGAUUUAUUUUUAUUAAAUAAGUUUCUUUCAGACACUAUGUCGUUCAGGUUUGAUUUUAAUCUGUAGCAUAAUGUCAUUACGGUCAGAUGUCUUUUUUCUCCUACUAGGUAGCAGGUGCUAUUUGAUUGUAUCUGCCAACUAUCAUU